CCUGAGAAACCCAAAAGAUCGAAUGGGGAGAUUCAUCGUCAGCUCAUUUUGUAUAUGUAUAAGUUAUGAUACGGGUUACUACUUGUAGUAUUGCCUGCACAUUCUUGUAUAUUUAGUUGCAAGAUGUUGUCGGCGUGCACUUCUCCCCUAGUAGAACGUCGCGACCUGUUUGGUGUCGGUCUACGGCCCAAGUGAUAGCCUUUAAUGUAAUUUAAAAAACAUUGAAGAUCCUUGGUGUUUUCUGACCGGCUACUUGGCAGUAUUCGUACGGUAUUUAGCCGCUAAAUUUUUUAAGCGUCCAUAUCCAUUACAAGCGAGGCUAAUUUACUGAUAGUACGGACCUAGUGCCGUCGUUGGUAUUGGCCAGCUGUUGGUUGAUGGUAUUCUAGGACUGGCUAAAAUUAAUUACCGGUCGGCGAUGCUACUGCUUUGGGUACUUUCAG
rnacentral:rRNA from 1 species